rnacentral:lncRNA from 1 species
AGAUGGGUCAACAAACAAUUUGUCUCAGAAGAAUUUAUUUAUUACCAUGGGUUCCACAGAGGACUUUACAGGAACUUGUGCAUUUUUCCUAAGAACAUCAGAUGAAGUUAUAACUGCAUCAAAUGUCUCUCAGGAGGUGAAUUUUGGCAUGUUUGACUGUACUAAUGGAAAUAUCCUUCAGGGCCUGGAGUUCUUCUUGUCCCAGAUCAUGAUACCGGCACUGAAAUCCCAAC